rnacentral:rRNA from 1 species
GACGAACGCUGGCGGCGUGCUUAACACAUGCAAGUCGAACGGAAAGGCCCGGCUUUGGUGUUGUGCUCGAGUGGCGAACGGGUGAGUAACACGUGGGUAACCUGCCCUUGACUUUGGGAUAACUGCAGGAAACGGGGGCUAAUACCGGAUACGAGCUCCUGCUGCAUGGUGGGGGUUGGAAAGUUUCGGCGGUUGGGGAUGGACUCGCGGCUUAUCAGCUUGUUGGUGGGGUAGUGGCUUACCAAGGCUUUGACGGGUAGCCGGCCUGAGAGGGUGACCGGCCCAAUUGGGACUGGGAUCCGGCCCAGCUUCUUCCGGGAGGAAGAAGUGGGGAUUAUUGACCAAUGGGCGGAAGCCUGAGCAGGCAAGGCGGGGUGGGGGAUGCGGCCCUUCGGGUUGAAACCUGCUUCAGCAGGGGACGAAGCGUGAGUGCGGGUCCUGGGGAAAGAAGAACCGGUUACUUCGGG